rnacentral:rRNA from 1 species
UACGGGGGGAGCAAGCGUUGUUCGGAAUUACUGGGCGUAAAGCGUGUGUAGGCGGCUCUGCAAGUCGGAUGUGAAAGCCCCGGGCUCAACCUGGGAAGUGCACUCGAAACUGCUGAGCUUGAGUAUCGGAGAGGUUGGUGGAAUUCUCGGUGGAGAGGUGAAAUUCGUAGAUAUCGAGGGGAACACCAGUGGCGAAGGCGGCCAACUGGACGAAUACUGACGCUGAGACACGAAAGCGUGGGGAGCAAACAGG